UGGUUAGACUUUAGGUAUUUGAUUUAUCUUCCUGGACGCUUCUAAUUCCUUCUGAUACGCCUGGAGCAGCGAAAGCGACUGGACAGCUCCCCCGGAGGACCCGCAGCACCGCGUCCCCGAUUUAAGAUCACAUCCAAGAUGUGUUUGUACAACUCGCGCCAUGGCUCCUAAUGCAUGCUGCUGGCUGUGGGGAACCAUGGAUGGACUGGGACAGCACUUCGAAGUUCUCCCGGUAUGGCUGGAGGUGCACCGCCAAUGAAAACGGCUUCUGAACGACAUUUGUGCUUAGACACAACAGAAUUGUUUUCUGUCAUUUCCUCACUGUUGAGUUGUGCUCCUGCGCCACCACAGAACAGGAUUUGACCAAGAACCUCAUUGGUUUCCAGGCCACCACGCUGAGCUGCACCCUCCUUUGUUCAACCUGCUCAGCCCAGCUACACAAUAGACUACAGGCCUCCCUAUGGCAGCAUUUGCUUGUGUCCAACACUCAGAGGGGAACGAGAAGGAUACAGGAAAAGCAACAGGGAUGGAAAGAAUCUGCAGACCAUGCCUUCAGAAAAACAGGAGGCCUGUCUGCUAGCAGAGCUACGAGGAUGUUCUUCAAGCAAAAAGAUCUGUCACAUAUUAAAGCCAAACGUAGUGUCAUGUGAAAAA